AGAGUUUGAUCCUGGCUCAGAUUGAACGCUGGCGGAAUGCUUUACACAUGCAAGUCGAACGGCAGCACGGAGAGCUUGCUCUCUGGUGGCGAGUGGCGAACGGGUGAGUAAUAUAUCGGAACGUAUCCAAUAAUGGGGGAUAACGAGUCGAAAGAUUCGCUAAUACCGCAUACGCCCUACGGGGGAAAGCAGGGGAUCGUAAGACCUUGCGUUAAUGAGCGGCCGAUAUCUGAUUAGCUUGUUGGUGAGGUAAAGGCUCACCAAGGCGACGAUCAGUAGCUGGUUUGAGAGAACGACCAGCCACACUGGAACUGAGACACGGUCCAGACUCCUACGGGAGGCAGCAGUGGGGAAUUUUGGACAAUGGGGGCAACCCUGAUCCAGCCAUUCCGCGUGAGUGGAGAAGGCCUUCGGGUUGUAAAGCUCUUUCGCAAGGGAAGAAAACUUAUGAUCGAAUAAAUCAUGAGGUUGACGGUACCUUGAUAAGAAGCACCGGCUAACUACGUGCCAGCAGCCGCGGUAAUACGUAGGGUGCGAGCGUUAAUCGGAAUUACUGGGCGUAAAGCGUGCGCAGGCGGUUUUGUAAGUCGGAUGUGAAAUCCCCGGGCUCAACCUGGGAACUGCGUUCGAAACUGCAAGGCUAGAGUGUGUCAGAGGGGGGUAGAAUUCCACGUGUAGCAGUGAAAUGCGUAGAGAUGUGGAGGAAUACCAAUGGCGAAGGCAGCCCCCUGGGAUAACACUGACGCUCAUGCACGAAAGCGUGGGGAGCAAACAGGAUUAGAUACCCUGGUAGUCCACGCCCUAAACGAUGUCAACUAGUUGUUGGUAGAGUAAAAUCUAUGAGUAACGUAGCUAACGCGUGAAGUUGACCGCCUGGGGGAGUACGGUCGCAAGAUUAAA
rnacentral:rRNA from 1 species